rnacentral:lncRNA from 1 species
CCUCAAGCAGCUCAGCCUCACGGGGAAAAGAAAUGUGUAAAGAGCUGAACUUAGGGUCAUGGAUGUUGUAUGGACAAGGAGUUUGAAAAACUUGGCUGGAGGGGAGGACUUUGCAUUGUAAUGUCCCAUCUCUUCCUCGUACCCUACCUCUGCUUUCUGAGAUAGAUAAACAAAUGGAUGAUAGAUAAAUAGAUAGAUAGAUAGAUGAUAGAUAGAUAGUAGAUAGAUAUCAGAAGAUAGGUCUGCUAUCUAUCGGUUUUUUUGUGGGACCCCACACAAAAUAGUUGUGGGGAAAAUGUUACCUCUUUAAAUAAUGGGAUGCCUUCAACAAGGCAAAGGUUUUAUUUAUUUUCUCCACCACAGUGCACACACUGGAAGGUUGCCUUUAUUAUAUCCAUUUCUGUAUUCGUACCAGCACCUCGCAAAAUAAUUGUCUCAGCAGACUCCCUUGGGCAAUACUUCACAGACAUGACUGUGCACGCCAGUCACCCAGAGAUCAUGUUAAAAUGCACAUCUGGUUCAGCAGGCCUAGGUUUCUGUAUGUUAUAGAAGUUCAAAGAAGACAAACUCUAGCCAAGAGCAGUGUGAAGAAAAGAAGACGCUAUAUUAAUCACAGUCCAGGGAUGCCUUCUGGCUUCCUGGCAGCAAUUCCGGCCUGAGAUUCCUUCUCUGUGCAUACUUCCUGUCAACAUUGUGUGAUGUCAAGCUGUGGCCGUCACAAAAGUACUGUGAACACCUGUAAAUCCCAACUAUCAAAAAUCACACCCAGGAAUCCAAAUUAGCAUUAUUAUGUCAAAAGAAAAACCUGAUUUCUUCACUGUCUGAUAACUGCUUUCUUUAUUGUCCUAAACUAGCAUUCCCUAACCUUUGAGUGAGAUAGUGACACUUUAGUUUCUUAUAUUCUAAAAUGUUUUCAGGGGCAGCUGGUGGCAGAGGAGAGGGCAGUGGGGAUAGGGCAGGGAGACAGAUACCUGCACAAGGAAGGUAUGGGGAUGAGGUGGGAGUCAAGAUGAUGAACGGAGAGAGGGAUGGUAACCGAUUUAGUCACCCAUUUGAGAGGGUCUCCAGACUUGCACUGCUGGCUAAAGACUCCUGUCCUAAGUGAGAAAGCAUCAUGUCAGGCAGGGGCUCUAUCCCGGUGGUUAUGGGUGGACAUUCUGGAGUGAUCUAAGGAGGCUUCCCGAGUCUCACUGUUGGCUCUCCCUGACCCCUUCUAAAGCUUUCUUUCUAGCUUCUGCUGCCCUCCAGGUAAGCACUCCACAGCCUGUGGAGCUCUGUGGGUAUAGUCUGUCCUUCCCAUAAUGAUUUGCCUCGCUGCAGUAAUUAACAGAAUGACUUCCAAAAUUAAGGGUUCAAAUCUGGCUGUGACACCUACAAUUAUGUCCCCUCUCUGAUUCCUCACCUGCUAAUCCAUGGGGUUGCUGUGAGCACAUGGGAUGCCUCAUGAUACUGCAAGUGGCCACUGCCAGUUGCCUUGAGAAUUACAAGCAGCUCUUGGUGCCUAAUCUGCUCCAUCUCUUAUUCUUCAUAUUCUAUGUAUGUCUUCCUCUGCCACUUACCAGCUGUUGACCUUGGGCAGGUUACUAAAUUUCCUAUGCUUUCUUUUCCCCAUUUAUGUAAGAAUAGCAAUGAUACCUACCUCAAAGGUACUGUAGAUGCUAUAGAUGGAACAUUGGUUUCCUCCUUAAAAUUUACAUAUUGAAAUCUUAACCCCCAAUGUGAGAGUAUUUGCAGGUGGGACCUUGAGAGGUGAUUAGUUCACUAGGGUGGAGCCCACAUGAAUGGGAUUAAUGCCCUUAUAAAAGAGAUCCUGGAGAGUCUUGUCCCUUCCACCCUGUGAGGACAUGGUGAGAAGUGGCCCCUCACCAGACACCAAUUCUGCCAGCACCUUGAUCUUGGACUUCCCAGCCUCUAGAACUGUGAGAAAUAAAUUUCUGUUGUUUAU